rnacentral:rRNA from 1 species
GACCGAUCAGGUUGUUGGUGAGGUAACGGCUCACCAAGCCUUUAACCGGUACGGGCCGUGAGAGCGGAAGCCCGGAGAUGGGCACUGAGACAAGGGCCCAGGCCCUACGGGGCGCAGCAGUCGCGAAAACUCCGCAAUACACGAAAGUGUGACGGGGUCAUCCCGAGUGCCAUCCGCUGAGGAUGGCUUUUCCCCAGUGUAUAAAGCUGGGGGAAUAAGGAGAGGGCAAGCCUGGUGUCAGCCGCCGCGGUAAUACCAGCUCUCCGAGUGGUGGGGAUGCUUAUUGGGCCUAAAGCAUUCGUAGCCUGCUUGGCAAGUCCUCCGUUAAAUCCAACGAUUCAAUCGUUGGGCUGCGGGGGAUACUGUCCGGCUAGGGGGCGGGAGAGGCCGACGGUAUCCUCGGGGUAGGGGUGAAAUCCUAUAAUCCCGGGAGGACCACCAGUGGCGAAGGCUGUCGGCUAGAACGCGCUCGACGGUGAGGGAUGAAAGCUGGGGGAGCGAACCGGAUUAGAUACCCGGGUAGUCCCAGCUGUAAACGAUGCAGGCUAGGUGUUGGCGCGGCUACGUGCCGCUCCAGUGCCGCAGGAAAGCCGUUAAGCCUGCCGCCUGGGAAGUACGGCCGCAAGGCUGAAAC